rnacentral:lncRNA from 1 species
GUGGAGGCGAAGGGCCGGCGGCGGGAUCGCGGUGCCGCCCAUGUCGCCCUUCUGCAAUGUGGACACCUGUGUCGGGCAUGCAUCCUAGGCCCACGAGUAGACCCUGUGCGGCCCACUAAGGGGCGUACUCGGACAUAAUCAAUACUAGGGGGCUAUGCGGCAAGAAGCGUAUUCCACUCGGACUAGUCAGGUGUGCAUAUGGAAACUACUCGGUCUACACCGAGUAGAACUCUGUAACCGUACCUGACUAGGAUUCAAACCUGUAGCCCUGCCCUCCCGAGUAUAUAAGGGCAGGCAGGGAGCCCCUCAAAGACAACUCUCUCAACACACAUCUAAGUUCAAUACAAU